GGCGGCGUGCCUAACACAUGCAAGUCGAACGGGAAAACAGGGGCAACUCUGUGAGUACAGUGGCGUACGGGUGAGUAACACGUGACUACCUACCCUCGAGUGGGGGAUAACCCCGGGAAACCGGGGCUAAUACCGCAUAACAUCGCAAGAUCAAAGGAGCAAUUCGCUUGAGGAGGGGGUCGCGGCUGAUUAGCUAGUUGGUGAGGUAACGGCCCACCAAGGCGAUGAUCGGUAGCCGGCCUGAGAGGGCGCACGGCCACACUGGAACUGAAACACGGUCCAGACUCCUACGGGAGGCAGCAGUGGGGAAUUUUGCGCAAUGGGGGAAACCCUGACGCAGCAACGCCGCGUGGAGGAUGAAGUCCCUUGGGACGUAAACUCCUUUCGACCCGGACGAUAAUGACGGUACGGGUGGAAGAAGCACCGGCUAACUUCGUGCCAGCAGCCGCGGUAAUACGAGGGGUGCGAGCGUUGUUCGGAAUUAUUGGGCGUAAAGGGCGCGUAGGCGGUGCGGUAAGUCACCUGUGAAAUCU
rnacentral:rRNA from 1 species